rnacentral:tRNA from 11 species
GCGCUCAUAGCUCAACAGGAUAGAGUACAGGUCUCCGAAGCCUGUGGCGUGGGUUCGAGUCCCGCUGAGCGCACCA